GUAGGUGGCAAGCGUUGUCCGGAAUUAUUGGGCGUAAAGCGCGCGCAGGCGGGUCUUUAAGUCUGAUGUGAAAGCCCACGGGCUCAACCGUGGAGGGUCAUUGGAAACUGGAGAACUUGAGUACAGAAGAGGAAAGCGGAAUUCCACGUGUAGCGGUGAAAUGCGUAGAGAUGUGGAGGAACACCAGUGGCGAAGGCGGCUUUCUGGUCUGUAACUGACGCUGAGGCGCGAAAGCGUGGGGAGCAAACAGGAUUAGAUACCCUGGUAGUCCACGCCGUAAACGAUGAGUGCUAAGUGUUACGGGGGUUUCCGCCCCUUAGUGCUGCAGCUAACGCAUUAAGCACUCCGCCUGGGGAGUACGGCCGCAAGGCUG
rnacentral:rRNA from 1 species